rnacentral:rRNA from 1 species
UGGGGAAUAUUGCACAAUGGGCGCAAGCCUGAUGCAGCCAUGCCGCGUGAGUGAAGAAGGCCUUAGGGUUGUAAAGCUCUUUCAACGGUGAAGAUGAUGACGGUAGCCGUAGAAGAAGCCCCGGCUAACUCCGUGCCAGCAGCCGCGGUAAUACGGAGGGGGCAAGCGUUGUUCGGAAUUACUGGGCGUAAAGGGCACGUAGGCGGCGAUGCGGGUCAGGUGUGAAAGGCCCCGGGCUCAACCUGGGAACUGCACUUGAAACUGCAUUGCUUGAGGACGGAAGAGGAGAAUGGAAUUCCCAGUGUAGAGGUGAAAUUCGUAGAUAUUGGGAAGAACACCAGUGGCGAAGGCGACUCGCUGGUCCGGUACUGACGCUGAGGUGCGAAAGCGUGGGG